UACGGGGGAGCAAGCGUUGUUCGGAUUUACUGGCGUAAAGGGCGCGUAGGCGGCCACCGCAAGUCGACUGUGAAAUCUCCGGGCUUAACCCGGAAAGGUCAGCCGAUACUGCGGGGCUAGAGUGCAGAAGGGGCAACUGGAAUUCUCGGUGUAGCGGUGAAAUGCGUAGAUAUCGAGAGGAACACCUGCGGCGAAGGCAGGUCUCUGGGCCGAUACUGACACUGAGGAGCGAAAGCGUGGGGAGCGAACAGG
rnacentral:rRNA from 1 species